rnacentral:ncRNA from 1 species
ACUCUAGUCUGGCAAGGUAAAGAGACUUGAGAGGUGUAGAAUAAGUGGGAGGCCCCUGGUAAGCCACGCCCCCCGCAUUCUGUGAGAGGGGUCAGUGUGUCGUGUCCCCACAUCCCGUGUGUCCCUCCCCCCAAACCAUUCCCACAGGCUGCCGGUAAAAUACUGCUGCUCUGGUCAUUUUUUCACUGACCCAGUAAGGCAGGGGUGGGGUGGCAAUCCCUGAGGGGCUCUUGCUUCUGGGGCCAAAUGCCUGCUGGUGUGUGGACAGUGCCAGGUAGGGAGU